UCGAGCGAGCUGAAUUCAAAGAUUCCUUCGGGAUGAUUUGUUGGACGCUAGCGGCGGAUGGGUGAGUAACACGUGGGCAAUCUGCCCUAAAGACUGGGAUACCACUUGGAAACAGGUGCUAAUACCGGAUAACAACAUGAAUCGCAUGAUUCAAGUUUGAAAGGCGGCGUAAGCUGUCACUUUAGGAUGAGCCCGCGGCGCAUUAGCUAGUUGGUGGGGUAAAGGCCUACCAAGGCAAUGAUGCGUAGCCGAGUUGAGAGACUGAUCGGCCACAUUGGGACUGAGACACGGCCCAAACUCCUACGGGAGGCAGCAGUAGGGAAUCUUCCACAAUGGACGCAAGUCUGAUGGAGCAACGCCGCGUGAGUGAAGAAGGUUUUCGGAUCGUAAAGCUCUGUUGUUGGUGAAGAAGGAUAGAGGCAGUAACUGGUCUUUA
rnacentral:rRNA from 1 species